rnacentral:rRNA from 1 species
GAGUUUGAUCUUGGCUCAGAUUGAACGCUGGCGGCAUGCCUUACACAUGCAAGUCGAACAGCAGCACGGGAGCUUGCUCCUGGUGGCGAGUGGCGAACGGGUGAGUAAUGCAUCGGAACGUAUCCUGGAGUGGGGGAUAACGUAGCGAAAGUUACGCUAAUACCGCAUAUUCUGUGAGCAGGAAAGCGGGGGACCUUCGGGCCUCACGCUCUUGGAGCGGCCGAUGUCGGAUUAGCUAGUUGGUGAGGUAAAGGCUCACCAAGGCGACGAUCCGUAGCAGGUCUGAGAGGAUGAUCUGCCACACUGGAACUGAGACACGGUCCAGACUCCUACGGGAGGCAGCAGUGGGGAAUUUUGGACAAUGGGGGCAACCCUGAUCCAGCCAUGCCGCGUGAGUGAAGAAGGCCUCGGUUGU